rnacentral:lncRNA from 1 species
AGUUCAGUUUAGGGUUUAAAAACCCUAAUGCUGACUAAAUGAAAAAGUUCAGUUUAGGGUUUAAAACCCUAAUGCUGACUAAAGGGAAAGAGUUCAGUUUAGGGUUUAAAACCCUAAUGCUGACUGAAUGGAAAAGAGUUCAGUUUAGGGUUUAAAACCCUAAUGCUGACUAAAGGAAAAAGUUCAGUUUAGGGUUUAAAACCCUAAUGCUGACUAAAGGAAAAGAGUUCAGUUUAGGGUUUAAAACCCUAAUGCUGACUAAAAGGAAAAGUUCAGUUUAGGGUUUAAAACCCUAAUGCUGACUAAAUGGAAAGAGUUCAGUUUAGGGUUUAAAACCCUAAUGCUGACUGAAAGGAAAAAGUUCAAUUUAGGGUUUAAAACCCUAAUGCUGACUGGAUGGAAAAAGUUCAGUUUAGGGUUUAAAACCCUAAUGCUGACUAAAGGAAAAAUUCAGUUUAGGGUUUAAAACCCUAAUGCUGACUAAAUGGAAAGA